rnacentral:rRNA from 1 species
GUGCCUAAUACAUGCAAGUCGAGCGAACAGACGAGGAGCUUGCUCCUCUGACGUUAGCGGCGGACGGGUGAGUAACACGUGGAUAACCUACCUAUAAGACUGGGAUAACUUCGGGAAACCGGAGCUAAUACCGGAUAAUAUAUUGAACCGCAUGGUUCAAUAGUGAAAGACGGUUUUGCUGUCACUUAUAGAUGGAUCCGCGCCGCAUUAGCUAGUUGGUAAGGUAACGGCUUACCAAGGCAACGAUGCGUAGCCGACCUGAGAGGGUGAUCGGCCACACUGGAACUGAGACACGGUCCAGACUCCUACGGGAGGCAGCAGUAGGGAAUCUUCCGCAAUGGGCGAAAGCCUGACGGAGCAACGCCGCGUGAGUGAUGAAGGUCUUCGGAUCGUAAAACUCUGUUAUUAGGGAAGAACAAAUGUGUAAGUAACUAUGCACGUCUUGACGGUACCUAAUCAGAAAGCCACGGCUAACUACGUGCCAGCAGCCGCGGUAAUACGUAGGUGGCAAGCGUUAUCCGGAAUUAUUGGGCGUAAAGCGCGCGUAGGCGGUUUUUUAAGUCUGAUGUGAAAGCCCACGGCUCAACCGUGGAGGGUCAUUGGAAACUGGAAAACUUGAGUGCAGAAGAGGAAAGUGGAAUUCCAUGUGUAGCGGUGAAAUGCGCAGAGAUAUGGAGGAACACCAGUGGCGAAGGCGACUUUCUGGUCUGUAACUGACGCUGAUGUGCGAAAGCGUGGG